rnacentral:lncRNA from 1 species
CAAGGCACACCGGUGGGCCUGACUGUUUAAGUGGAGGCGGAUCCGGAUGGUAGCAGCCUUCACGCGGGGGAGGUGUAUUCUUGCGAAUACGCUUUUAGCAUCGCUGCAGCACCCUAGGACGAGCCACUGGGCCGUCCCAAUACCUAGACUGCGCAUAGUGCGCGUCUUAGCCCAUUUGGUGGGGAUUUCUCUUUUUCUUUUGCCAUGUAUACGAAACUAUUCAUAACUAUUUCAUUUGUACUUGAAAUCUAAUGAUUCAAGUUCCUGGAGAUUCAUAAGAUCAUUUCCUACACAACUAUGUGAAUUGCACAUUUUUUAGAAACUUUGUGUGGUGUUAAAACUCAAACUCAAAUUUGAGUAUUUU